rnacentral:tRNA from 1 species
UACGUUUUAGUAUAUAUGUAUUUAAAAUUUUGAAUUUUAAGGAUUUAGAUUAAUUCUAAAAAAUGUAG